rnacentral:rRNA from 1 species
AAGAUUUUGAUUUGGAAUUGUCAUGGAAUGGGGAAUGCCCCGACGGUUCAUGCGUUGCUGGAUGUCCAGCAAAAAUGCCAUCCCGAUGUGUUGUUUUUGUCGGAGACACACCUAGAUAGCUAUCCAGCUGAGUGUUUGAGGAGGAGAUUGAAGAUGGAUGAAAAACUCAUGUGCCCUAGUGAUGGUAGGAAGGGAGGCUUAUUGCUGCUCUAG